AGCAACUUCAUUAUGACCUUUGGUGGUCGCAUCUUGUAAACUCUUUUACAAGGGUUUCUUUUGUACUCAUUUUUCCUUGCCAUCUGAAAGUUAUGUCUAGCCUUGAUCUCUCUAGCUGCUCUUGAAGCUAAUUUGAUCUUAUUAUUUCCAUUGUAGAGAUCAAGAACAUCUGGUUAUCAUACCCUGCUUACUAGCCCUUUACACGUUUGAAGACUAUUAAUACAUUACCACUAGAUUUUCUUUAGUACAAGCUGAAUUAUUUCAAAUCCUUCAAUCUUACUGUUACUCAAAUAAACUAUUUAGCAACUUCUUAAUUAUUUUUGUGCCUCGGGCAUAGCCUCUUGUUUAUUUCUCCAAACUCAUUUAAAGUUAGAAACUUUAAAAAUAAUGUCUUUUUCUAAACAUGAUAGUCAUCACUGAUGAACAUGUAGAGAAAUUAGCUUAUACUCCAGAAAAAUUUUAAACUGUGACCUAGAAUAUGCUGUAUCAACUCCAGCAUAAUUCUUCUCAGUAUGUGAUUUAAAAAAAUUUCCUACUUCUAUUAUUUCCUCAGUUCCUAAUUCCAUAAGCUUCAAUCUGUACAGAGACUUAAUGAAUGGCACAUUUGAAGAAAAGAACUAUUUAGCUGAAAAUCUUAAAUGUUCAUACUAAUGUAUAAAUUUUAUAAUAUGCAAUCCUAGACAAUGGAAUAGAAAAAUUAUGCACACUCAUUAGAGGUUCGGGUUAAAAAAGAUACUUGAAUUAAAUAUAAAAGCAUUUCUGAGUAAAUCUCACUUUGUUUUUCUGCUCACUCCAAGUCUUACCUUUGAGAUUGUUCACAGAAUCCUGUACUUUAUAGAAUUUAGAACAGUUUGGAAUUUUGUAUUUCUUUGUGUAGUUAACAUUUAAUCUCCCACCAAACUUUAAGUUUCAUGAGGGUAAGUAGGGACCUUGUGCAUUUUUCUUAGAAUUAAUAUCUGGUAUAUAGUAGAUAAUCUAGAAAUGUUUAUUGUGUAAAUGAAUAAUAUGUAAUUUGCGAUUGAACCUGAAUACAUGUGCAAUUGCUACGUUCCUAAGUCUGAAAGCCCAUUUUAUUUAUUUGAUUAAAAAUAUGAUUAAAAGGAAAAUACUGCCUAGAGACAGGAUAUAUUAAAUCGUUACUGAAAUUACAUGUAUUAACUCAAAUUUAUUGACCUAUUGUCAAGAACAAAACAAAGACUUUAGAAUUGGGACAUAGCAGAGGUCUGUUUUGAUGAAUAUGUUGUUGGAACAGAGGUUUGGGAAGAUGGGAAAUCAGUGAUCCUUUCCUAUGUUAGAUUCUGUAGCAGGAAAAUAUAGAUAGCUAGCCAGAUACCUCAUCUGUGAAAUGCCUUCUCUCUUUGGAGUAAAUGGAUCUGGAGGGUUUUAGAGACGGGGUGAGCACUAUAGAGCUGGUGAAUACAGGUAAAACUUUGGUAUAAAAAUAUUGUAAGUGUGAAUGGCUUUUUGUCAAACAGUCAACACCAAGACUUUAAAAAUAAUUAUUCUAUAACAAUGUAUCUGCUUAUAGUAACUUUUCUAUGACAAAUAUCCAAAUGAAAAGUUCAAAAUCUGUAUCAGUAGAGAGUAAUUUUCUUCACUUUCUAAUCUUUUACAAGAAUUCUACACAUCUUUUCUUGUUUAUGUUUUCUUUCUACAGGCUAUAUAUGCAAUUUCCAGCAACGUCCUUAUAGUAACAAAAGUAUGCUGUAAAAAUUUUGUAAUAUAAGACAUAUUAAUAAAAACAACUAAAGAUAUGAGACCCUAGAUUC
rnacentral:lncRNA from 1 species